GAUGAACGCUGGCGGCGUGCCUAAUACAUGCAAGUCGAGCGAACAGACGAGGAUCUUGCUCCUCUGACGUUAGCGGCGGACGGGUGAGUAACACGUGGAUAACCUACCUAUAAGACUGGGAUAACUUCGGGAAACCGGAGCUAAUACCGGAUAAUAUAUUGAACCGCAUGGUUCAAUAGUGAAAGACGGUGUUUCUGUCACUUAUAGAUGGAUCCGCGCCGCAUUAGCUAGUUGGUAAGGUAACGGCUUACCAAGGCAAGGAUGCGUAGCCGACCGGAGAGGGUGAUAGGCGACCCUGGAACGGAGACACGGUCCAGACUACUACGGGAGGGAGCAGUAGGGAAUCUUCCGCAAUGGGCGAAAGCCUGACGGAGCAACGCCGCGUGAGUGAUGAAGGUCUUCGGAUCGUAAAACUCUGUUAUUAGGGAAGAACAAAUGUGUAAGUAACUAUGCACGUCUUGACGGUACCUAAUCAGAAAGCCCCGGCUAACUACGUG
rnacentral:rRNA from 1 species